rnacentral:piRNA from 1 species
UGCUAAUCUGCAGCUCCAGUAUCUUC